rnacentral:rRNA from 1 species
UACGAAGGGUGCAAGCGUUACUCGGAAUUACUGGGCGUAAAGCGUGCGUAGGUGGUUUGUUAAGUCUGAUGUGAAAGCCCUGGGCUCAACCUGGGAAUUGCAUUGGAUACUGGCAGGCUAGAGUGCGGUAGAGGGUAGUGGAAUUCCCGGUGUAGCAGUGAAAUGCGUAGAGAUCGGGAGGAACACCAGUGGCGAAGGCGACUACCUGGACCAGCACUGACACUGAGGAGCGAAAGCGUGGGGAGCAAACAGG